rnacentral:rRNA from 1 species
UACAGAGGUCUCAAGCGUUGUUCGGAUUCAUUGGGCGUAAAGGGCGCGUAGGCUGCGGGGUAAGUCGGGUGUGAAAUCUCGGGGCUCAACCCCGAAACUGCACUUGAUACUGCCUCGCUUGAGUACUGGAGAGGAGACUGGAAUUUACGGUGUAGCAGUGAAAUGCGUAGAUAUCGUAAGGAAGACCAGUGGCGAAGGCGAGUCUCUGGACAGUUACUGACGCUGAGGCACGAAGGCCAGGGGAGCAAACGGG